CCGCUGGAAGAUGAUGAACUCAUCUCCUACAUGCUGUGAGGCCUCAGAUUAGAGUUUGAUCUGCUGGUGAUAAGUAUCACCAUGAGAUCUGAUCUGAUGACUGCUAACGAUGUUUAUGCUCAAAUGUUAAGCUUUGAAC